rnacentral:rRNA from 1 species
GAUGAACGCUGGCGGCGUGCCUAAUACAUGCAAGUCGAGCGAACAGACGAGGAGCUUGCUCCUCUGACGUUAGCGGCGGACGGGUGAGUAACACGUGGAUAACCUACCUAUAAGACUGGGAUAACUUCGGGAAACCGGAGCUAAUACCGGAUAAUAUAUUGAACCGCAUGGUUCAAUAGUGAAGGACGGUUUUGCUGUCACUUAUAGAUGGAUCCGCGCCGCAUUAGCUAGUUGGUAAGGUAACGGCUUACCAAGGCAACGAUGCGUAGCCGACCUGAGAGGGUGAUCGGCCACACUGGAACGGAGACACGGUCCAGACUCCUACGGGAGGCAGCAGUAGGGAAUCUUCCGCAAUGGGCGAAAGCCUGACGGAGCAACGCCGCGUGAGUGAUGAAGGUCUUCGGAUCGUAAAACUCUGUUAUUAGGGAAGAACAAAUGUGUAAGUAACUAUGCACGUCUUGACGGUACCUAAUCAGAAAGCCACGGCUAACUACGUG